GAGAGAGACAGCGAGGGAUAGAGAGAAAUAGUUAGACAGCAAUGUAGCAAUGUAACCUGAUCAUUGGCAACCAUCGUAUUUUCAAGUAUAUCCAAUCGAUCAACAUUCAUCCCUGAAGUUUCCUCUGGGUUCACUCCCACAUUUCAGAUAUCGUUUUCAUUAAGUUGAGACCUCAACGUCAGAAAGGCCUAUCUGUCAUUCUACCUGGCACGUCACCUUAACCUCCGUUAUAUACGGGAGUGACCAACGGAAAGAUCGCCAGUUACACUUGUUUUGAGGUCAUCUUUUCAGUUGUCCUUAGAACUCGUAAAAAACGGAAACAAUUUCCAAGAGAGGACACAGUACUGUAUCUCCUGCUUCACCGAGGUUGUUAAAGGAAGAGGAAAAGGCUUCAGAACUGAACGAACACAGAUCUUCUACAGACAGAGAGACGAGAUCAGAAAGCGGACACACAGCUCCAGAGUGGUAGUAUACAAACAGUCAAAGGAAAUCUAGUUGCCACAUCUAGAAAUGGCAGAGGUAAAACAACUGAACAUAUUGCCCCCCCUCAUCCCCUACCCUGAGGGGAUGACAGAUGAAAAGGAAAAGAAAAAAGAGACAUUUUGCAGGGAAAUCCUGAGACUUUAUAUCGUGAUGAAAGAAAACAGGCUCCAUGCGACCUCAUUUUCUACACAACAAAUGUUUCUACAUGGGAAGAGGAAAUACUGAAACACUAUCCUGAGGGAAAACAGUGGAGAAAAAUUAAAGAUGGCAAACAACUGAAAACGAAGGCAGGCACUAUAAAUGUGUAUGAUACUGGGAUAAUCAUGGUGCAGGGUAAUAGUGAGACGUUAAUGAUAUUCCCAAAUGAUUUCCCAGCCUUGAGCGAGAGAGUGAGAAAGAGUGUCAAGAGCAAGCGUGUCGAGGCGAGUGAGCGUGUCGAAGAGAAAAUGGCAGAGCUAGGCAUUGAGGAAAGAGGAGAGCAGAGGAAAAGAGAGAGCGAGGACAUAAAAGAGGAAGACAUAAAGGUGGAAAUAAAGGAAGAGGAGGAAGGAGGAAAAGGGAAGCACUGAACAUUCCAGGGCAGAUCAGAAGAGAAACAUUAUUUUACGGGAUGUAUAAUUUGAUGAACAGUUAUGCUAUAGCCUGCUGUUCCUCUCACCUUAUUUCAUGUAUUUCUUAUCUGUUGUAUCUUUUACCUUUUAAUGUUUGUGUUUUUUAUUGAGCUUGUAUGAAAAAUGCAUUCAUAAGUGCUCACCAUCAUCAUUAUCUUGUUUUGGUUAUAGUUUAGCACUUUCCCAAUGAUAAAGGUGCUUAAAGCAAAAAGGUGGUGAAUUUCCCCAGCAAUAUGUGUUUCAUUUUGUUUCAAAAUGUGUGCUCUAAAAUGUAUCAUGAUUUUUUAAAUGCACUUCUAAUAAAGUUUGAUUUAACAAGU